AGGACAUCGACGGUAUAUGAACACAUAAUGCAGAAUAACAACUCCAUUACUGCACAUUCAUUGGCAGCAUUUUAACACAUACCAUAUAAUCAAAACUGGUGGAACAUUAUCAAACAAAAUAUUUCGCAAAUUUAGAUAACUUAAUUGACCAUGAGACACACAUCCAAUGAAAGUAUGAUGAUUUAUAAUCCACAAGUGAUCACCACACCUGCAUCUUCUUCAUUG
rnacentral:lncRNA from 1 species